UAUUUGUUUCCCCCCGCGGAGCUAAGCAUAUCAAUAAGCGCAGGAAAAGAAACCAACAGGGAUUACCUCAGUAACGGCGAGUGAAGCGGUAAUAGCUCAAAUUUGAAAUCUGGCCUCUUGGGGUCCGAGUUGUAAUUUGUAGAGGAUGUUUUGGGUACCGCCCCGGUCUAAAUUUCUUGGAACAGAAUGUCAAAGAGGGUGAGAAUCCCGUCUUGGACCGGCGGUAGGGCCUGUGUAAAACUCCUUCGACGAGUCGAGUUGUUUGGGAAUGCAGCUCAAAAUGGGUGGUAAAUUUCAUCUAAAGCUAAAUAUUGGCCAGAGACCGAUAGCGCACAAGUAGAGUGAUCGAAAGAUGAAAAGCACUUUGAAAAGAGAGUUAAACAGUAUGUGAAAUUGUUGAAAGGGAAGCGCUUGCAACCAGACUUGAGCGCGGCGGUUCCCCCGGUCUUUUGGCCGGGCUACUCCGUCGUGUCCAGGCCAACAUCGGUUCUGAGGGUCGGUCAAAGGCCUUGGGAAUGUAUCUACCCACGGGUAGACUUAUAGACCAGGGUGUCAUGCGGCCUCUCGGGACCGAGGAACGCGCUUCGGCUCGGAUGUUGGCGUAAUGGUUGUCAGCGACCCGUCUUGAAACACGGACCAAGGAGUCUAACAUCUAUGCGAGUGUUUGGGUGUCAAACCCGGAACGCGAAAUGAAAGUGAACGGAGGUAGGAAGCUUCGGCUGCACUAUCGACCGAUCCUGAAGUUUACGGAUGGAUUUGAGUAAGAGCAUAGCUGUUGGGACCCGAAAGAUGGUGAACUAUGCCUGAAUAGGGUGAAGCCAGAGGAAACUCUGGUGGAGGCUCGCAGCGGUUCUGACGUGCAAAUCGAUCGUCAAAUUUGGGUAUAGGGGCGAAAGACUAAUCGAACCAUCUGGUAGCUGGUUCCUGCCGAGCCUCCUCUCUCUAAGAUGAUAA
rnacentral:rRNA from 1 species